rnacentral:lncRNA from 1 species
GUAAUAGUAUUUAUAUUAUUAUAGAAUGAAGAUAGUGGAAGAAAGUAGUUGGUGUUAUGAUGUUUUAUAUUAUAAAAAUUUACUACUUUUGGAAUGUAGACAAUUGGUGGGACGUUCCAAAAAGGAAACUGCAUACAAUUCAUUGGGACGGAGGGAGUACAAUUAGUUACCCUCUGUACCCCGGAUAUUACUCUACAGUAUUUGCUAAAUACAACAGUAGAAAAUACUGAAUCCUGACAGGUGAGUCAGUGACAUGGCAGCAUGCCCAAUGCUGACGGGGCAGCUUGGGUGGUCCCCGGUAUUGACAUGACAGUUGACAUGGCAGAUUGAGUGACCCCUAGUGUUGGUGUUGAGAUGACAGUUAACGUGGCGGACUGAGGGGCCUCCAAUACCGCCUUGACGGAUGACUGACGUCUGGAUGGAUGGAAAAUGUAAAUUUGGAAUAUUAUGUGCCAAUUAAGGGUGCAUAUUGAAAAUGUAAAUUUGGAAUAUUAUGUGCUAUUUAAGGGUGCAUAUUGUAAGUUUAGAAGGUAUAAAGAGAUCGUCGAUCAUUUUAAAACUAAUUUUUAAACUAAUAUUAAUUUGUAUUUGAUCAUCUUCCUAUAUAUACAUGUUCUUACUCCGAUACAAACUAAAUUAGCUUACAAGCUAAAAAUUUAGUACAUUCUCAAUUUUACCAUACCUAUUGCAUAAUUGUUAAAUGCACUCCCCUGCAUAACUUAUUUUUUCUACUUUUUAUCUUUUAAAUUUUUGGGAAGUCCAAUACUGAAACCCCAACUAAUUCUUACACCUAAAUAGCGGCACAAAUUUUACUAACUAAACCUUACACUUAAUUAGUAGCACCAAGUCAUAAUCUUUACGCGAUAACAUCGAGAAUCAAUCUCAUAAAACACUAAACCCAGUUAAAUUUAAGCAAUAUCUUCACUCUCAUUUGCAUACACAAAUCUAAGACACAUUACAUACUAACAAACAAGCAAUUUAAACUAAAGAAAGAUUAUAUAGUUUUAAUUAUAAGAGUAAUUAAAAAUAUAAUUUUAAUAAAGAGGAUAAUUACCAGACCAAUUUGACGAUUCGAUGCUCAGAGGAAAGAUUC